GAUGAACGCUGGCGGCGUGCCUAAUACAUGCAAGUCGAGCGAACGGACGAGAAGCUUGCUUCUCUGAUGUUAGCGGCGGACGGGUGAGUAACACGUGGAUAACCUACCUAUAAGACUGGGAUAACUUCGGGAAACCGGAGCUAAUACCGGAUAAUAUUUUGAACCGCAUGGUUCAAAAGUGAAAGACGGUCUUGCUGUCACUUAUAGAUGGAUCCGCGCUGCAUUAGCUAGUUGGUAAGGUAACGGCUUACCAAGGCAACGAUGCAUAGCCGACCUGAGAGGGUGAUCGGCCACACUGGAACUGAGACACGGUCCAGACUCCUACGGGAGGCAGCAGUAGGGAAUCUUCCGCAAUGGGCGAAAGCCUGACGGAGCAACGCCGCGUGAGUGAUGAAGGUCUUCGGAUCGUAAAACUCUGUUAUUAGGGAAGAACAUAUGUGUAAGUAACUGUGCACAUCUUGACGGUACCUAAUCAGAAAGCCACGGCUAACUACGUGCCAGCAGCCGCGGUAAUACGUAGGUGGCAAGCGUUAUCCGGAAUUAUUGGGCGUAAAGCGCGCGUAGCGGUUUUUUAGUCUGAUGUGAAAGCCCACGGCUCAACCGUGGAGGGUCAUUGGAAACUGGAAAACUUGAGUGCAGAAGAGGAAAGUGGAAUUCCAUGUGUAGCGGUGAAAUGCGCAGAGAUAUGGAGGAACACCAGUGGCGAAGGCGACUUUCUGGUCUGUAACUGACGCUGAUGUGCGAAAGCGUGGGGAUCAAACAGGAUUAGAUACCCUGGUAGUCCACGCCGUAAACGAUGAGUGCUAAGUGUUAGGGGGUUUCCGCCCCUUAGUGCUGCAGCUAACGCAUUAAGCACUCCGCCUGGGGAGUACGACCGCAAGGUUGAAACUCAAAGGAAUUGACGGGGACCCGCACAAGCGGUGGAGCAUGUGGUUUAAUUCGAAGCAACGCGGAGAACCUUACCAAAUCUUGACAUCCUUUGACAACUCUAGAGAUAGAGCCUUCCCCUUCGGGGGACAAAGUGACAGGUGGUGCAUGGUUGUCGUCAGCUCGUGUCGUGAGAUGUUGGGUUAAGUCCCGCAACGAGCGCAACCCUUAAGCUUAGUUGCCAUCAUUAAGUUGGGCACUCUAAGUUGACUGCCGGUGACAAACCGGAGGAAGGUGGGGAUGACGUCAAAUCAUCAUGCCCCUUAUGAUUUGGGCUACACACGUGCUACAAUGGACAAUACAAAGGGCAGCGAAACCGCGAGGUCAAGCAAAUCCCAUAAAGUUGUUCUCAGUUCGGAUUGUAGUCUGCAACUCGACUACAUGAAGCUGGAAUCGCUAGUAAUCGUAGAUCAGCAUGCUACGGUGAAUACGUUCCCGGGUCU
rnacentral:rRNA from 1 species